CGCGGAGCGGAGCGGAGCCGGGCAGGGGGCGGGGGGCGGCCGGGCCCUGCAUGGCCGCCCGGGGGGGCUCUGCCGGCGGCGGGGGGGCCAUGGCGGGCCGCGGCUGCUAGGAGCGGGGAGGCGUUCGCCGGCGGCGGCUGCCGACAUGUCGCGGGGAGCCGACAUGUCGCUGGGCGCGGAGGAGGAGGAGGAGUACGGGCGGCUGGUGAUGGAGUCGGAGCCCGAGUGGCUGCGCAGCGAGGUGAAGCGGCUCUGCCAGGAGCUGGGCGAGACCACCCGCGAGAAGAUCCAGGCGGCCGAGUACGGGCUGGCCGUGCUGGAGGAGAAGCAGCAGCUGAAGCAGCAGUACGAGGAGCUGGAGCUCGAGUACGAGACCAUCCGCGCCGAGAUGGAGCAGCUCAAGGAGGCUUUUGGGCAGGCUCAUACCAACCACAAGAAGGUAGCAGCAGAUGGAGAGAGCAGAGAAGAAACCUUGAUUCAGGAGUCAGCUACCAAGGAAGAGUACUACAUGAAGAAGGUUAUGGAGCUGCAGACAGAACUGAAGCAGCUCAGAAAUGUCCUUGCCAACACCCAGUCUGAAAACGAACGCCUUAAUUCUGUUGCACAGGAACUGAAAGAGGUCAACCAGAAUGUGGAGAUCCAAAGGGCCCGUCUGCGAGAUGAUAUUAAGGAAUAUAAAUUCCGAGAAGCCCGUUUGCUGCAAGACUACACUGAGCUGGAAGAAGAAAACAUCUGUCUCCAGAAACAAGUGUCUGUCCUGAAGCAAAACCAGGUGGAAUUUGAAGGUCUGAAACACGAAAUCAAAAGGCUUGAAGAAGAAACAGAAUUUCUCAACAGCCAGCUGGAAGAUGCCAUUCGGCUGAAGGAGAUCUCUGAACGCCAGCUUGAGGAGGCCUUAGAGACUCUGAAGACAGAGAGGGAGCAGAAGAACAAUCUUCGUAAGGAGCUGUCCCACUACAUGAACAUCAAUGACUCCAUGUACAACAGUCACCUGAACAUCUCAUUGGAUGGGCUGAAGUUCAGCGAUGAAGCCACAGAGCCCAAUAAUGAUGAAAUCAUGAAUGGAUUUGAACAAAAUUGCCUCAGCAAACUCAGCAAUGGCAAGAAUACAUCAACGCCCAGGAAAAAUGAAGGCUUCCCUCCAGCACCAAGUCUGGUUUCAGAUCUUCUGAGUGAAUUAAACAUUUCUGAAAUCCAGAAGCUGAAACAACAGCUUGUACAGAUGGAAAGAGAAAAGGUGAAUUUGUUAACGACACUACAGGAGUCUCAGAAACAGCUGGAAAACACACGAGGGGCCCUCUCAGAGCAGCAUGAGAAAGUUGGCAGGCUUACUGAAAACCUGAAUGCAAUGAAGAAGCUCCAAGUCAGCAAGGAGCGUCAGUCUGCCCUCGACAACGAGAAGGACCGGGACAGCCAUGAAGAUGGAGAUUAUUAUGAAGUUGACAUCAAUGGGCCAGAGAUCCUGGAGUGCAAAUACAAAGUGGCUGUGGCAGAGAUUACUGACCUAAAAGAAGAACUUAAAAAUCUGAAGACGAAAUACAAAGAAUGUGAGUCUAAGUAUGAGGAAGACAAGAGCAGAUAUGAAACUGAGAGCCAAGCUCUCACUGAAAAGAUCGCCUCAUUAGAAAAAUCCAGCAGGCAUGAUAGAGAGCAAGUGGCCAGACUGGAGAAGGAGCUGAAGAAAGUCAGUGAUGUUGCUGGAGAAACACAGGGCAGCCUCAGUGUGGCACAAGAUGAGCUGGUCACCUUCAGUGAGGAACUGGCCAACUUGUACCACCAUGUCUGCAUGUGCAACAAUGAAACUCCAAACAGAGUGAUGCUGGAUUACUACAAGGAAGGUAAAGGAGGACGCAGUAGUCCAGAGACCAAGGGAAGGAGGUCUCCUAUUCUUCUUUCUAAGGGGCUGUUAACUAUCGAGCUUGGAAAGGCAGAGAAUGGAAGCGGUGACAGCAGCCCAUCUCCAGUGUCAUCUCUGCCAUCUCCUGUGUCAGAUCCUCGGAAGGAACCAAUGAACAUUUACAACUUGAUCGCAAUAAUCCGGGAUCAGAUCAAACACCUGCAAGCUGCUGUGGACAGAACAACUGAGUUGUCCAGGCAGCGAGUUGCCACUCAAGAACUUGGGCCAGUGGUGGACAAAGACAAGGAAGCUCUCAUGGAAGAAAUCCUGAAGCUGAAGUCCCUGCUGAGCACCAAGAGAGAACAGAUAGCAACUCUGAGAACUGUGCUGAAGGCCAACAAACAGACUGCAGAGGUGGCCCUUGCCAACUUAAAAAGCAAGUAUGAAAACGAGAAAGCGAUGGUUACGGAGACAAUGAUGAAGCUGCGAAAUGAGCUGAAGGCUUUGAAAGAAGAUGCUGCUACAUUUUCUUCCCUGAGAGCAAUGUUUGCUACAAGAUGUGAUGAAUAUGUCACACAGCUGGAUGAAAUGCAGCGUCAGCUUGCAGCAGCUGAAGAUGAGAAGAAGACUCUGAACUCCUUGCUUCGGAUGGCUAUCCAGCAGAAACUGGCACUGACCCAGCGUCUGGAGCAUUUGGAGCUAGACCACGAGCAGUCCAAAAGGGUGCGCACAAAAUCUGCUUCCAAAGCCAAGAGCAGUAACCCUAGUGUAAGUCAUAUUCGGUCCUGCGGAGACAGGUCUGAAGGAUCUGUCCUUAAUAACCAGGUGUUUUGUAGUGAAAAAUAUAAAAUCUAUUGUGACUAGAAGAGGUGUGUAGAAAAAUCAUAUUAUGCAUCUUAUUUUAUGCUGUAACUGUCAGCGUAAAUCCCCACUAUCUAAUGUCGCAGUGAGUUGGCUUGUACUAGUAAGUUGUUAAACCAGGUAAUACAAAUUGUAUUAUGGUGGUCUUAACUGUAAUUCAUAAGUACGGGGAUGGUAUUAACAAGUUAAUAGUGGAAAGGAAUUAGCUUUUUCCACAAUUAACAUGUAUGAGUUUUGCUGUUUAUGGUAAGUGUUAAGAGUACACCUGAUAUACUCUGGUUACUAAUUGUAGUUUGUGUAGCACAAAUGUGAUCCUUUCUCCAGGGUUGCAGCAGACUUCAAUAAAUGCUUUCACAGACAGAAGCAAACAGAAAACUUCCCUUGCUAGUGUGACUUAAGUAGUGGUGAAAAGCACAUGUGGUAAAAAGCAAGUGUAAAGAUUAGAAGUAUGUCUCGAAAACUCAGAACAUUUUGAAACUGGAACCAAAAUUAAUUUGCCUGUUAUGGCAGAUACUAAGAACUUGCUGUCAUAUCACCACUUAUCAACAUACUAAAGCUUUUACAGGUAAUAAAAGCUGGAAAAAAAAUAUGGUAGGUUACAUUAUUUACACUCUGCUUCCCUCGCUUCAGAGGGUUAACCAGAAGAAAGUGGCACAUUUAUAUUAAAAAUAUGCAAUAUUUACCCCAUCUGGUAUAAAACCUAAAAUUUUGCGAAUUGGGAGCCUACCUGGUAGACAGUUCUACCUGAAGAAGUUAUGCUGUGGAAAAAUAUAAUGUCUUGAAAGGAUCUUUGUGGUGUCCUGUUGCUCCUUGCAGCAUAACACUUUGGAAAGAAUCUGUUUUAUGUAUUACUGUAGCCACACAACUUAUCUGUGUAGAACUAAUGUGACUAUGGUCUAGUAUUGUCAGUCACAAAACAGAUUUUCUCAGCUUUCAGUAUUAAUCUGAACAGGAUAGUAUUUCAGAGCUCUGAUCAUUUUUUUUAAAUACACAGAAGAUACUGCAUUCAUUAUGCAAGAACAUGUUUCACAGGGCUCUACAUUAUAGGCACAGGAAAUUGAGCAGAUCAUCCACUAAUUAAUAUUUAUGAAGUAGCUUAGUAUACAUAAUAUUCUUUAAGACAAACAAACCUUUGUCUGCUAUUGAACUUCUAAGAGGCCUUUUUAGCCACUCAAUUUCAAUAUGUUUGAAAAUAUAAAAGUGUACUUUGUAAUUGGUGCCUAUAUAAGAGAAAAAAGAUUGAAAAAGUUGUUUCUAAAAUUGUGGAAAAUUUGUGGAGCACAACAAGGCACACUUUUUUUCCCCUUUAAAACAGUUUUAAAGUGCCUAGCCUCAAACUUUAUUUUAAUGUAAAGCCCUGUUCAUUUUGUACUCUUUCAGAUAAUUUUGUAUGCCUAUAGUAUUACUUAAAAGCAAUGCGAGACUGCACAGUUGUCUGCUUGAUAGUGAUGUUUUAUAAAGCCAUUCUAAUAUUCCUGGUGUGGUACUGCCUCAUCUCACUACCAUUUCUUAUAGAUGAUCAGCAGCUUGCUUCCUGUGCAUUGCCGCUCUGCCUAUAAGUAGUCAGGAGAUAUCACAAUACUAAUAUAAGCUGUAGAAUAGUCCAUGGAGAAGGCCUUUCCAACAGUGCAACAACAUUUCUUACCCUCUUUCAUUAUGGUUAAAAGUGGUAGCCCAUUGCACAAAGAAUGCAAACCACUGACCUGAUCCUAACUUUUGAGAACACCUUUUCCUAUAUACUACCUGAAACUUCUCUUUUAUAUCUCGAGCUAUAAAACAAACAAGCUUUACCUAUAAGUGCUGCUGCAGUAAGAAAACUUACAAGUGCUGAAGAAACCUACUUCAAAUGUAAUGAUCACCAUAUUAGUUUAUGAUCUACUAGAAAUGUUCCGAUGGGGGGAAUUUCUUAUUUCAUUGCAGAUGCUCAUUUUUUAUCUGAUUCUUAAACUGUGCACUUUUGAUAUUUUGAUAUUUUUCUUUAGCUUCUUUAAUUCCUUAUGUAGAAGAGUUUAUAUAAAUGCAGUGGCUUGUGCUUAUAGUUUCUCUUCAACUUCAGCUUGUGACUGUUGAUUUCUACAUCAGCAUGUGGCAGAGAUUUUUUUUUUUUUUUUUUUUUGGCUCUAGAUGUGUUUAGAAAAGAGUUUCAACAAAAAAAAAAAACAGGAGCUCUGCUAAACUAUGUGUGUGCUGUGCUUCAGCAGCUUUUUUGUUAUGAAAUAUUAAGCUUUAUAUGUUUAAAUUACUGAUUUUUUUUUUUGACUGCCAUGUUCAUUAAGAAAUCCAGGGUAUUCAAAUUCUGGGGUUUUUUUCAUAUUGUAUUAUUAUUCUUAGGAAUAGUUCAAUGUAACAAGAAGAAAACUUGACUUUGCUCUGGUUAAAACAGUAAUAGGCACUUGAAAAAUAUUAAAUAAGUAGUAUUACCUAUAAAUUCCAGAAUUCCUGGGUUUUAGGAAGUUGAAGUAUUAUUGAUUAACAGAAUUUUAUACAACUGUACCAGUUAAAUUCCAAAUUGGAAUUGUUUUGUUACUUUUUCAUUUUUAUUGUGCCAAAUUAUGGUACAUUUAGAAAGAAAAAUUCUAAAGUUGUCAAUGAUAGGGUGUUACAUAUCAGCGCCUUUCUGUCGUUAAUUAUUGCCAGUAGUGCCUUUAAUCAUUUUAAGGAAGAAUCUUAGAAUAGCUAGGUCUACACACAAAGAAAUGGAAUGGCUGUUUUGGAAUUUAGUCAAGAUGUGGAGCAAUAAGUGCAAAGUGAACUCCCCCUUCGCACAUUUUUAAUGGGUAGUCUUAUUAUAAUAGAGAUUAUAUAUUCAAGGAAUUGUAAAAAAUUCUGUUAGUCAAUGAUAUUUCAUCAUGCAAAUCCUUGCAAAUUCAGGGGAAUAGAGGGGAGAAAAAUAAACAAACCUGAAUACACUUUGGGAACCAAAUGGACUCAUGUUGAACAGAUGAGCAAGAUGUAUUAACACAUUUGUGGUAACAGUACAGAGAGCGUAUUGGGAAUAUUGAUGUUAUGUUAGCUUUGUUUGGUGGUGGAUGCAGUUAACCAUAGUAUUGUUUGCAAAUGUGAACAACAAAACAUUAAUAUCUUCUCUUGCAUGUUAUAUCUAAUCAUUGUAAUUUCAGGAAACAGAAACAGAAGUGCAUCAACAAGCUGUACCUACCUCUCUGGUGCUGUUUGUUGAGGCUCACAUGAAUGAUUAAAUUGAUACUUGCUGGGGGGGAGCCUUCCCACUCCUCAAAAAAAAAGUACAAAUUGAAAUAAUAUUGACAGUGGGAAAAGAUUUCUGUUUGCUGGAAAAAAAAGCAAAAACACACAGACAUUAUUAUUCCUAGAUGUGGGGACUUAAUAUUUCCAUCUUCUGUUACAGUAUUGAUUCAUAAGAAAUAUUGUUGCAUUUAAAAUUACUACAUUUGUAUGUGGGUAUUUAUUUGAAAUGAUGUCGAAGUACUGUAUUAUGUUCUAUGUGCAUUACCUUUUAGUGGUGGAUUGGUCUCCAUUUAAUGUCCUAUGCAUGUAUUCUUGCCAAGUAACCUUUACACAGAUAUGGAAAAAAAUGUUAAAGAGAAAAAUGUGGAAACUGAUUCUUAAAGUAUAACUGUGUGUUAAUUGGAUAACCUUAGGAGACAUAGAGGGCAAAAUGUUACUUCCAAAUUAAUACAAAAAGUGUUUAAUGUAGGAAAGCAAUCUGCCUGCGUAAAGGUAGUCACAUUGGCAGUAUCAAUAAAAGAGAAAAGGAAUCA